rnacentral:tRNA from 1 species
GCGGGUAUAGUAUAGUGGUAAUACCACAGGUUUCCAACCUGUUGACGGGGGUUCGAUUCCCCCUACCCGCUCCA